rnacentral:piRNA from 1 species
UCUUACCUAUCCCGGUACCUUUGAAU